rnacentral:tRNA from 10 species
GCCUUCCUGGGAGGCCAGAGCCUGGCGGAGUCACUUUCUUUUUGCCUCUAAGAUACCCACCGCGCAAGGCUACUUUCCUACCACUUCCUUAUCUCUUGAAGAGUCAGACCCACUGCGGGCUUCCUUUUCCAUCACGGGUUCCCUGGGCCCCGCGCGCCCUCUCCCCACGACCCCGCUCACUUCCUUCUGCGCGCUCCCCGGGAGCGUCUUUCCGCUUCUCUCCGGUCUUCCCACUCCAGCUAGGGACUCGCCCUCGUGUCUCCUUCCCUCUCUCCAGGGGGAGACGAUGGCACUACCGCGCCCCUUCCCGCCAUGCGUUUGUUUGCGGCGUUCCCCGACGCGCGCGCUGAGGCUCUGGUCUGCGGCUCUGCGCUUGGCGGCUGCGCGCCCUCGGCCUUCGGGUCCCCGCCGCCUCCGUGCUGCAAGGUCUGAUUUCUUCCUGUGGAGUUAACACGGAAAAGCGCAGACGGCCACAUUCAUGACCCGGGAGUAACGGCUCUACCUGUCACAUUCGCUUUCAGCCUAAAACAAAAUUUUAGUUUAUUUUAGACAAAAUAUAUAACUAAGGUAUGCUGGCCUUCUGACUGAUUUAUUCUUGCUGUUAACGGAAGUGUAGAAAGUGAGCCCAAGUCCUCAGUGAACAGUGGGGGCGCUGCCCAGGUGCAGGACUGGCCCCCUGGGGGUCUCGGGACGGCUCCCGCCUCCGUCUUCCCCGCACCGCGCACUUUGGAGGCCUGGGCACAGGUGGAGGCGGCGCUGGGUCCCGCCGUACACUCCCCUGUCGCAGGCGCCCUCUCUCCAGCCGGAGGGAACCUCAAAAAAGCUCUGAGCGAGUCCCCGUCCCAGGUGGGGCCGCGGCUUAUACCGGGACCACUCCAGGGUAGCUCAAGGUUCGAAAACGGAAUCCCUGUCCGGUGAACCAGAGAAGAGAAAAUCGCUCGGGGCCACCUGGGUAGAGACCGGAGGGGUGACUGCCUUGACUGGGAGGCGUGGAGGAGCGAGCGGGGUCUGCGGCUCCGGCCGGGAGGUAUGCGCUUCCCUCUCUCACCCAUGCCUGCUCCGGUCCAAAGAGCCGAGACCGUGGGUCAAGACCGGGAUGGAUUCGCUCGGGAGAGGCCAGGAGCCUGCCAGCACGUUCGGGCACUAGCGCUCCCGGGGCUCCUCGGACUCGUGGACCCCGAAACGCCUGCCCCACAGGAAGAUCACCCCACUGUAGAAGUCGGGUCACGGGGACCAGUGGCGAGCUACCUGACGGCUUAACUACAGAUACCCUCCCGACGAAAGCCGUGGACUCCCAGGGUGCGUGCGUCUGCUUGUGUGUGGGGGUGUUGGCAGGCGGUCCCCAUAAUCAUCGAAGAGACAGGUGGAUGAACCUCAGGCCUCGCACUCGGGGGCUCUCAGAGUCUGGGCGUUACAGCCGCUCCCGUACACUCACGGGUCACCUGGCUGAAUCAGGUGGGAUCUGGGUGAGGUGCCGGGAGGUCUCCCAGGCUGGCGCUCCUGUCCAGCUGCUGGGGGAGGCGUGGGUGCGAGGCUUGGGACAAGGGAGAGCUAUGCCGGGUGGGGAGGACCCUUGGGGCGGGUCCGUUCACCUGAAAUGUUCACUGCUGGAAGAGCCGAAAGCCAGCCACGGCACCCAGGGGAGUCCAGCGUGGAGAGGCAGAGAGGAGGGGCGAGGACAGUGGCGGUCGCAGACGGCGGAGCAAGAUCGCCGAGCGUGCGAAUGGAAAAAUGAGCAUUGUUUCCUCGGAGUAGCUUAACCACCAUCCCACGCUGUUUUACAGCAGUGUAGGAAAUGUCUCUGCUGGUGACACAAAAAUAAACCUGUGCAUCAGCUCUGAGUAGAUUAUCGCGAAUUUUACAGCAGGAAACCGCAUCACUAUUUUUACUACUAAAUAAACCAGUGCAAUUAAAGUGCGCAGGGCGAGAGUAGGUCUGAGGCGAGAAAAGAGGAGCGCGCCCGCCCAGCUCGAGCCUCAGGCUUGCCCUGUGCUGGAGGCGGCCCGGGGGCAAUCCCGGGAGAAUGCUGCGAGGGCUGUGAGCCAGGACCCCGACUCUGCACCGCGGGAGCGCGCGCGCGUGGGUCCCAGCCUCCGAGCUGUGCAACAACCCCGUGGCUAGAGUCUCCACGAGAAGACAGAGUUCCUGGUCAUCGGUCGUUUCCGCCUUACACUUUCCUACAUUUCCUGAAGAUUUUGCAAAUGGUUUUGAUCCCGAAAGAUGUCCAGCGGAGGCAUCACCAAGAUUUCCGGGAGUGCUGGGGAUUGGAAAGAAUCGUGGAUAGGAGACUAAGCGAGCCGUCCCGGAAGCAACAGUUGCUGUGAAGACUUUGGGCACAGACCUGCACGUGAGAGUAUGCUCUUGAGGGUUGUGGGGGCUCUCCUUUUACAGCUAGGGAUCACUUGUCGAACGUACCCGGAGAGUAGCUGCUAGCAGACAAUAUUAUGGCGACAGAGGUAGGUGUGGGUUUCCGUAGUGUAGUGGUCAUCACGUUCGCCUAACACGCGAAAGGUCCCCGGUUCGAAACCGGGCGGAAACAUGCCACAGUGUUUUUUUUUUUUUUCCCCCCCCUUUCUUUUGAGAUGGGGUUUCGCUCUUGUUGCCCAGGCUGGAGUGCAAUGGAGUGAUCUCGGCUCACAGCAACCUCCGCCUCCCAGGUUCAAGCCAUUCUCCUGCCUCAGGCUCCGGAGUAGCUGGGAUUACAGGCAUGCGCCACCACGCCCGGCUAAUUUUGUAUUUUUAGUAGAGACGGAGUUUCUCCAUGUUGGUCAGGCUGGUCUCGAACUCCGGACCUCAGGUGAUCCGCCCACCUCGGCCUCCCAAAGCGCUGGGAUUACAGGCGUGAGCCACCGCGCGCGGCCCCGAAGCGGUUAUUAUCUCAUUACACGCUCUUAUUACACUGGAGACUAACCUAGAAGAUCCCACUAGUAUGUCCACCUGGUGGUCACAGCGGCACAAAGAGAAGAGGGCAUCUACGCUUUUGCUUUCCAUUCCCAACCACCCGCACCUGUGAACUCAAUCCAGUUUUACUUGCUGUGGACAAGCUCGGCACAGAGCUCAUCCACUGGACAGCGGCACGCUGCCAAAUGGAACCCCGCAUCUCGAGUAUGUGUGGGGCCCAUUACUCCUUUUGUAACCCAUAGGGGACAAAAGUGACAAAACUACCACAAACUGGCAGCGGUGGGAUUCGAACCCACGCCCCCGAAGAGACUGGAGCCUUAAUCCAGCGCCUUAGACCGCUCGGCCACGCUACCUCUUUGCCGCUGGGUAUUUACAUAUUUUCCUUCAGUUAUGAAGCGUGCGAAGGGGCUCUGGGCCAACAGGGAGUUGGGGCGAAUCCACAGGGCAGGACCAUGGCAGGAUCCGCUCCGCCAAAGCCACUGGCUGGGAAACGGCUCCACCAGUGCCCUGACACAGGAUUCUCAAUGCCCAGGCCUCAGGAUCUGCUUUAGGAAGGCCAGUCAUAAAGCCACCCUCUUUGGGGAAUGCACUCCAGAGCAGGGGAAGACUUCGACACUCUCACUUCAAAAAAUCAAAAACAAAUACAAUGAAAAAUAAAAUAAAAUAAAAACCUAAAGAAAAACAAGCAAAAAACCCCAGCCUGGGCAACAUGGCGAAACCCUGUCUCUACAAAAGAUGUAAACAUUAGCCGGGCGUGAUGGUGUGUGACCAUAGUCCUAGCUACUCAGGAAGCUGAGCCCAGGAGGUCGAGGCUGCAGUGAGCCGAGAUCGCCCCACUGCACUCCAGCCUAGGUGACAGAGCAAGACCCUGUACCAAAACCAAUCAAACAAAAACAAAACAAAACAAACAAAAAGCCCCAACAACAACAAAGCAGACAACAAACUGAGAGUAUGUAUUGACUUUAUGAGUCAUGAGCAGAAACGUUCUUAGCAACUUCAUUCAUAAUAACUCACUUAUGGAAACAGUCCAAAUGCCCACCAUCUUCACAUUGGAUAAAUAAAAUUGUGUACAGUCUU